AUGGCGUUCAUGCGGUACGACUACAGGGCGCUGCCGCAGGAGACGACGGUGGAGGAGUUCCGGGCGUGGCUGGCGCAGUUCGACGCGGACGGGGACGGGCGGAUCAGCCGGGAGGAGCUGCGGGAGGCGCUGCGCAGCCUCGACCUGUGGUUCGCCUGGUGGAAGGCCAGGGAGGCGCUGCGGGACGCCGACGCCAACCGCAACGGCCUCGUCGACGGCGACGAGAUGGCCAGGCUCUACGCCUUCGCGCGCACCAACCUCCACCUCAAGGCCGCCGACCUCGACGCCUAG
rnacentral:rRNA from 1 species